UGGGAUGUGAUAGGGUGUAUUUUAUAAUUUAUCUUUCAAACUCAUGUAAUUAAUAUUUAUUUUAAUAAAAUAGAUAUUUUUUAUUCAUUAUAUGUUGCAUCUUGUUGUUCUUAAGAUUAUAAUAAACCCCAUAAGUCUGGAAAAUAGUUUCAGGACCAUGAUGAGAUCACGCCAAGAUCUAAAUCCUUGAUAGCUCUAACCUAAAAUAUUUUUAGUCAUUAGUACAUUGAGUCAGAGAUCAAUGAUAUCGGUAAGACUGGCAUAUUCUAUGUAUGCUCAGAAAUGAGGGUGGUUGAUCUCACAAUCACAUGUGUGGUGACACUAAUAUAAGGAUAUGGAUGCUCAUUAGAGAAUAUGUUCACUAAAUUGACCUAUGAGAGUAUAUCAGAUAGAGUCUUAUUUACAUGUCAACUGAUGAUUCUCUAGUGGGAGUUGUG
rnacentral:lncRNA from 1 species